AAAAAAAUCUUGAAUCCGGGGACAGCAAAUCUGGCUUUUUGUGCACUGACACAUUCGCAAAGCCAUUUCCACCAAGGCUGGGUGUCUAAGGCUUCCAGAUCACCUCCCUGAACGCCGCCUUGUGCACUGAACUCUCCUUAUCCUGCCCUGAAUCGCACUGGAGGUUGCCGUGGGGCGUGUUCAGCUUGUCGGAUGGGCUGCAUCAUGCCACCUGCCCCGACUGCCCGUGCCAGGGUGCUUGUCUGCUUGGUUGUCAAGGAAGACACAAGUCAACAGAAGAAGGGAAAGUUCCUGCAGGGCUGUCCCACCACACGGCUGCCUGAAGAUGUACCAGAGAGGAGAAUUUGAGCAGCAGAAGCUGGAAUGUGGCUCCAGCAGUUUCCUUCCUUCACCCCCUGCUCCCCUUCAACUCUCCCCAAAGUCCAGGCAGUCAAGAAACUCGUGAAGCUGAAAUUUCAGUGCACUGAGUAAGUGACUUCAGGAGAACUCUGGGCUCUCGGGGAGAGGAGAGGAGAGGGUACAGCCCAUGGAAGCAUGUCAUCAUCUCCACGACAGCCAGGCUACCCUGCCCUUGGAAAUCUCCGUGCUUGUGCAACUGCUUCCAAGAUGUGAGUGCGUGCAUUGCUGCUCCUGUGCCUUCGGGGUGAGAGCUCUGCGGCUGUUCUCUGCUUCUGUCCUCCUCUGCUAAUCCUACAGGUGAUGUCCGCCCUCCCCAGCAUCCUUCUAGCCCCUCCUCCCAUCAUGACAGACAAGAAGAGACAGAGACAAAGACUUUUCACUGAAAUGCAAGACAGACACCUUCAAAGGAAACUUUAAGAAAACCCAUUCAUUAUUUUAAGUUUUAUUAUUAUUGGUGUGUGUGUGUGUGUGUGUGUGUGUGUGUGUGUUUGUGUACCGGUGCAUGCAUGCCUUAGCUCUACUGUGGAGGACAGAGAACAUUUGAGAGUUGGUGCCCACUUUCCAGCUUGGGUUCUGGGUCUCUAAAUGAGCUCACAGGCCUUGCAGGAUGGAGGCUUUAUCUGAAAAGCAUCUUCUUUAUUUUAAUAGUUUAUAUAUUUUAAUUUUACGUGUAUAAGUGGUUUGCCCGCAGGUACGUCUGUGCAGCUUGUGUGUGGAGUGCCUAUGGACCCCCUGAAAGUAGAGUGACAGGUGGAUGUAAGCUGUCAUGUGGGUGCUGGGGGGAAAAACAGGGACUUAUGUCAAGCUCAAGAAACCCAGUCCCUGACUAUUUAUUAUAUAAAGAGACCUUUCUUCCCUGCAAAGUAGGACCUCCUUCUCGGUGCCCUACAUCCUCAGGCUUGCACUUUCUAUCCCAAGCAGCUGCUAGAAGGCUUUUCCUAAACAGUGGGGCUCUGGGUUACUUUACAGGAGGAGUUUGGACAGCAACACACAGUUUUAUCUGGGCCUGGUCAGUCCUGCUCCCUGGUCACAGGCAAUGCCUCUCAGAGAAUAGCUUUGGGGAGGGCCUCCUAUCAUAUUCAGUUUUUUUUUCUUUCUGGUUCAUAAUUACAGUUUUGGAACUUUUAUUACAAAUUCAGAUUGCACGUCAAACAUCUCUCUCCCUCACACCCCCUGAAUUCCCUUAUCUUAACCCUCACCUUUCCCAUUACUUCUCUCCCCCAGACAGUUUUACUUCCACUUUCCUGUCAUAAAUAUGUGUGUGAGCAUGUGCGGGAGUUUGUGCACACAUGUGCGUGUGUGAUUUUAUGUGAAAUCUAGGACCCCCAAAACCAGAAACUACACACAAUACUUAAGCUUGCAAGGAACUGUCUUUAGGGGAAUGAGUACAGAGAACUUGGAGAUUUCAGGCAUUUAUCAAUUACGAUGUGUUACCACGUGGCUUUUAAUUUACACAGAUCUUCUUUACUUUAAUAAAUAUAAAAUAUCAUUAAUAUUUUUUUAAAACAUCAUCAGGGAGCUGAGGAGAUGGUCCAGUUGGUAGAGAACCUGAGCUUGGAUUCUUGCCUGGGUUCCACAUGCAGGCCAGGCAUGGUGGCGUGUAUCUUUAAUGCCGUGGCUGAGGGUACAGAGACAGACAGAUGCUCACUGGAGCUCACUGGCAAGCAAGUAGAGUCAAUGAGUGAGUUCCAGGUUCAAGGGGAGUUCCUGUCUCAAAUAAAUACAUGGAAUGGAAGACUACUGA